rfam:Triticum aestivum genome assembly, contig: Triticum_aestivum_CS42_TGACv1_scaffold_577277_7BL
AAGAUACUCCCUCCGUCCGAAAAUAUUUGUCAUCAAAAUAAAUAAAAGGGAUGUAUCUAGACGUAUUUUAGUUUUAGAUACAUCUCUUUUCAUCCAUUUUGAUGACAAGUAUUCCCGGACGGAGGGAGUAAUAG